rnacentral:rRNA from 1 species
UACGUAGGUGGCAAGCGUUUGUCCGGAUUACUGGGCGUAAAGAGCGCGCAGGCGGUCGUUCAAGUCGCGUGUGAAAGCCCCCGGCUCAACUGGGGAGGGUCACGCGAUACUGAUCGACUCGAAGGCAGGAGAGGGUAGUGGAAUUCCCGGUGUAGUGGUGAAAUGCGUAGAUAUCGAGAGGAACACCUGCGGCGAAGGCGGGUUGCUGGGCUGACACUGACGCUGAAGCGCGAAAGCUAGGGGAGCGAACGGGA